CCGACCUGGUGGGGGCGGCCCUGGCUCCCGGGCUGCUGCGGCUGGCCCGGGAGGAGGCGCCGGAGGUCUCACUGCGGUUCCGGGCCGAGGAGCUGGA
rnacentral:tRNA from 1 species